rnacentral:tRNA from 1 species
GGAGGAGUAAUCAAGCCUGGCCAAAGUAAGCACUUUGUGAGGAGUUCGUGGGUUCAAAUCCCACCUCCUCCA